rnacentral:misc_RNA from 1 species
UGAAAAAGCCUUUUUUUUUUUUUUGGAUUUUCUAUAAGGGGCAUAAGGAAAUGAAAUUGGGCAAACCUGGAGUGAAGCAAGACGGAUAUAUAUGGAGGGCCAUUUGGGUGGACGGGUUGUAAAUAAGAUGUGGUUAGGAGGGUAGAUCUUUAAGUAAUAAAGGGCGGUUAGUACAUGGUAGGAGUGUAACUGAGAUCGGACUGUACACAAAGUUGCCGGUUGGUGGGUUAGGGUUUCGUUUUGGGCUCUCCACGCAUAUUCAGGAGAGUGUAAUAAACGCUCUUCAUUUUUUAAAAAAAUUAUAUCAUUUUUCUAACUUAAAUAAAAUGUAAACAUCUUAAAA